GAUGGAUGAAUGGAUGAGUGUUGGAGCAAAGGGGUAAAGAGGCUCUGCUUUCAGUGUAAGCUUCCCCAAAUUUGCCCCUCAAGCUGCUGUCUCCAGUUCACAAACCCCCAGACAGGCUGGGUGUGAGAACAAUGAGGAGACACAGUAGCAGCUUCAGGGAAAGGCUCCAGGCCCUGAAUAGGACAAGCCAGCACCGAAAAUGGAUGUACAGCUUGUUUUAAUCAUCCCACGUUGGCAGCACUGGGGAGGCCAGGCGGUGGAGAUCCAAAGUGAGCGUGGAGGCUAAGGCGAGAAGGUGCUGGAUCACCAUCUGCUCACACACACUCUGCAAGAACCAGGGCCAGUCUAGCCCAACCCCCCCAGGCCAGAGGGCUGUCCUGCAAACAUGUAUGAUUGCCCCCUCCCCAC